UACGUAGGGUCCGAGCGUUGUCCGGAGUUACUGGGCGUAAAGCGCGCGCAGGCGGCGGCGUUGGCCCGGCGUGAAAGCCCCCGGCUCAACCGGGGAGGGUCGUCGGGGACCGCACCGCUUGAGGGCGGUAGGGGCUGGUGGAAUGCCUGGUGUAGUGGUGAAAUGCGUAGAGAUCAGGCGGAACACCUGUGGCGAAGGCGGCCAGCUGGGCCGUCCCUGACGCUGAGGCGCGAAAGCUAGGGGAGCGAACAGG
rnacentral:rRNA from 1 species